rnacentral:rRNA from 1 species
AACGAACGCUGGCGGCAUGCCUAACACAUGCAAGUCGAACGAGAUCUUCGGGUCUAGUGGCGCACGGGUGCGUAACGCGUGGGAAUCUGCCCUUUGGCUCGGAAUAACAGUUGGGAACGACUGCUAAUACCGGACGAUGACGAAAGUCCAAAGAUUUAUCGCCAGAGGAUGAGACCGCGGAGGAUUAGCUAGUUGGUGUGGUAAAGGCGCACCAAGGCGACGAUCCUUAGCUGGUCUGAGAGGAUGAUCAGCCACACUGGGACUGAGACACGGCCCAGACUCCUACGGGAGGCAGCAGUGGGGAAUAUUGGACAAUGGGCGAAAGCCUGAUCCAGCAAUGCCGCGUGAGUGAUGAAGGCCUUAGGGUUGUAAAGCUCUUUUACCCGGGAUGAUAAUGACAGUACCGGGAGAAUAAGCUCCGGCUAACUCCGUGCCAGCCGCCGCGGUAA